CAUUGUAUAUUCCAUCUUUAUCCAUUCAUCUGUUGAUGGACGCUUAGGUUGCUUCGAAAAGAUAUGUGCACUCCAGUGUUCAUAGUUGCAUUAUUUACUAUUCCCAGUUCUUAAUUCCCUGGAGUACUUUAGAUUGCUAUCACUUCUUGUUGUAUAAUUUGUAAGGAGAACAGUGAUGAUUUCCGAGAUGAGGCCUUAAGAGGAAAGGGCAAGCGAUUUGUCAGAAAAACACUUGGGGAGAAUCCCUCCUUAUGAGUGGUGGUACCUUGGGCAAGUGUCUCUAACUCUUUGAACUUUUCCUUCUUCACAAAAGUGCUAAUGCUAUAACCCAUAGGCUGUUGCAAAGGUCAAAUGAGACAAUGUUUAAGCACUUUGAAGCAGCAAAGUCUUGUGUGAAUUAGAUGUUAUUAAAAGUAGUUUAGAGCAUGUGGCUAUGAUUGAACUAUAUCAUUGAAAUUAUAAUUAACAGGAGUGUAGUAUUAAAAGGAAAACUUUUCUUAAGUAUAUUUUUUACAAAUAUUACCUUGGCUUUCUAAGAGUUCUAAACAAUCAAGGAAAGUAGAAUGAGGAAACUCUUAUGAUCUAGAUGUUUUUGUAAAUAUCCAAAUGCUUUUAAGUCUGCAAAUGCCACUUAAUAAUGGUCUGGAUGGAAGAUCUGCUGCCACCCCCCGCCCCAUAGGGGUGUAUAUGUUUGAAAAUUUCACAGUGUUGUAAUACGUCUUGUAUAGUGGAAUAUUAACAUUAUUUUAAUCUGUUCACUGAAAUUAGAAGCUUGCUAAUUUUGCCAUGCUAUGUAAAAAAUAACAAAUCGUUCCAAAGCAAUGCAUUUUUUAAAACAUCUUUUUUUCUUAGAAAGAUACACUAAGGUAAAUACUAGUUUUUUCCCCGACAGCCUUGGCAGAAUAAACUGUCUAUGCAGGAACCAGGCAAUCAACAUUUAACUUGUAUUUGUUAGUACCUACUGUGUGUUUCAGUCAUGUUCUUCAGAGGUAAGCAACAAGAUUCUCUACUCUCAAAGAGUGUAUAUUCCAAUAAGGAAAACAAUUAAAAAAUUUUUUUCAAAGAGUGAGAAGUGCUAUAAAUAGUAAUAUGAUAGAAAGUGUGAGGGGUGGUGGAGUUGUAGAGUGGUGAUUGACAAUAGCGUGUGCUAACAUGGGACAACCUGAACGGUAAGAGGCAUCGCUCACAAUAUGAUGAAGAAGAGUAUCGGACAAAGCUAAGAGCAAGUGCGAGACCUUAAGGCAGGAACAAGAUGGGCAGAUUCAGGGACUAGUGGGAGGCAAGCGGUGAUGAGAGCUGAGAAUGGAGAGGGUGGCAGAGCCCAUGGGAUAGGUAGGAUUCUGUAGGUCAUUGUAAGUAACCUGGUGAAUUCUGAGUGACUAAGUGAAAUGGGAACAAGUGAAAGGUUUUAAGGAAAUGACAAUUUUUAAACAAUCUAAUUGAGAUAUAAUUUACGUACUCUUAAGAUUCAUCCAUUUGAAUUCAAUGUGCAGUUCAGUGGUUUCUAACAUUUACGGAGUUGUGCAACAAUCACCAUGAUCUAAUUUUAGAACCUGAUUUGUUGUUUAAAAGAUCAUCCUGGCUUUUGUGUGGAGAAUGGAUUAUAGAGGAGUGAAAGUAUAAAGGACAAGAUCAGGAGGCUACUGAUGUUAACCCAGGUGACCUUUAUUCAAAUGGUGAAGAAGAAUGACUUCUAGAUGAUGUCCAAAGAUUUUCUGAUGAUCCCCAUUCUUGGAUCUGAAACAAUCUUGAAAGCACCACGUAGAUGGAGCAGGGCAGGGCUUGGCCCUGACGAACAUGGGAGUCGACAGACCCAAGUAGGAUAUCCAGUCCCACAACUUAUGUGGGGUCUAAGAAGGCGUUAUUAUUGCUUCCAAUUUAUAGCUGAGAGGAUUGAUGCAUAGAGUGGAUUCUGUCCUGGAAGAGGGGCCAUACUGAAAUGAAAUGGAAAGAGAUGAUUAAGACCUGAUUUAUAGGCAUCCAAAGACUAAACUUGUUCAGAGGUGCAAACAGCUCUGAAUUAUCACCACUACUUCAAGGAAGUCUUCAUGGACACGGGAACUAAUAUCUGCUCUCCAGGACCUCCUCAAAGAGUUUGUAUCUCCAUGUCUAUUUAACUAUCUCUUGUGUUCUAAUCCAUUACAAAUAUAUUAUGGCGCUGGCAUCAGAACACUGUGUUCUUACUGGUUGCCAUAAAACUGAUGCACUUGCAGCCUGCCUCGAUUGAAAAGUUGUCAGUAUAAAUAACACAUAAAUUCACAUUUUGCAUAAUAGGGCCCAUUCCUUAUAAAUCAGGUCAUGAGUAUAUGAAACAUAUAUCUUGGCACACAAAUGUUAAAUAACAGUAAUAAAUUAAUAAAUACAUAAAUUACUUAAAUAGGUAAAUAACAUAAAAGUCAGCUGUGACCUGCUAGCUGUAAACUGUAUAAAUAAAUUAGCUGAUUGUUUCGGUGGGCAUUUAGCAUUUAAAUAUAAAAAUACAGCAAAGACAUCUUUAUAAUCG